CCUACGGGUGGCAGCAGUGGGGAAUAUUGGACAAUGGGCGAAAGCCUGAUCCAGCCAUGCCGCGUGUGUGAAGAAGGCCUUCGGGUUGUAAAGCACUUUCAGUGGGGAAGAAAGCCUUGGGGCUAAUACCCUCGAGGAAGGACAUCACCCACAGAAGAAGCACCGGCUAACUCCGUGCCAGCAGCCGCGGUAAUACGGAGGGUGCGAGCGUUAAUCGGAAUUACUGGGCGUAAAGCGCGCGUAGGCGGUCUGAUAAGCCGGUUGUGAAAGCCCCGGGCUCAACCUGGGAACGGCAUCCGGAACUGUCAGGCUAGAGUACAGGAGAGGAAGGUAGAAUUCCCGGUGUAGCGGUGAAAUGCGUAGAGAUCGGGAGGAAUACCAGUGGCGAAGGCGGCCUUCUGGACUGACACUGACGCUGAGGUGCGAAAGCGUGGGUAGCAAACAGGAUUAGAUACCCCUGAAGUC
rnacentral:rRNA from 1 species